rnacentral:misc_RNA from 1 species
UUUUUUUUUUUUUGGCUAAUAUUGAAUAAUGGGUCAUUGAGAAUCUGAUAGCUAAUUUCAGGAGCAGGUAUUAAGAGUGGUCUCAAUUUAGCUUUGGAGCAUGGCCAGCAUGGAAGUGGAGAAAUGAUCAUAUUUUCUUUGAAAGAUACUUCAAUGGAAAUGCUGUGAUUUUGAUUCCGAGGUAUGUAUGGGAGGUUGGGAUGCUUCUCCUCCAGGACGGCUUAAGGUGAAUGCAGGUGGAGCAUCAAAAAGAGAAACAAGACAGGCAGUAAUAGGGUAUCCGCUAUCCAUUCAGGGACAAAGAUGGUGUUUGGGUGGAGCCUGGAGGGUUUUGCUCAGAAUAUUGGUAUUGCUUCUUCAAUGCGUGCAGAGUUGUGGGGUAUCUGCUCAGGUAUGGUGUCAGCUUGGAGUCCUGGGACAAGUUAUUGUGGAAGAACACUCUCUAAGUGCUGAUGCAAAUGGAUCUCCUCUCUUCUUUUCUUUUUCUUUCUCUCCCCCUAAAAAAAGGACAGAUGGUGGAAGAUGGCUACAAAUAUGCCCUAUCAGGUUAUCUGGAGAGGAAUUUCGUGGAAACAUGGUGAUUAGUGGCAAUGCAAAAGUAGAUAUAGAAUGGGUAUUCAAAGAUAUUCUAGAAGCACAAUCUAGGAGCUUGCAUGUGAUACAAGAAUGCCAUCUGACAUACUUGUGGCAGGUGGAAAGAUGUUUUCAUGUUUAGAGCAGAGUAAUUUGACUUCAGUUAAAGGCUCUGUUAUGGAAGGAAGAAGUAAAGAAAGCAAAAUCAGGAAGGUUAAAAAAAAUGUUUGACUAGGAUGUUGUGAUUUGAUGGAGCGUAGGGUCCAAGGUGGAGUGAAAAAUGGUAAAGAGAUUUUAGAGCUGGUCCUAAGUGAUGAGAAUGGUGGCCUUUUCCUGAGUUGAUUGAUUGUUGUGGUUGACAUUGUGCAAUAUGGUUAUUUGCACCUCGCAAAUCAUGCUUAAUCUUAUCCUUUCAUCUAGGUCAUGCAUCCUGUGUUGUUAUUUGAUUGUUGAUUUUCUCCAUAGGUUUAUUUUAUACUCAGAUGGAUAAUUUAAUUGGGGUUGCUGACUCAUCCUGAGUGUUGCUUCUCUUUGACCUGAUAUUGCAGCUUUCUCAACGUACUAUUUCGG